rnacentral:rRNA from 1 species
UGAGUAAUGUAUAGGAAUCUACCUAGUAGUACGGAAUAAUUGUUGGAAACGGCAACUAAUACCGUAUACGCCCUACGGGGGAAAAAUUUAUUGCUAUUAGAUGAGCCUAUAUUAGAUUAGCUAGUUGGUGGAGUAAUAGCCUACCAAGGCAAUGAUCUAUAGCUGAUCUGAGAGGAUGAUCAGCCACACUGGAACUGAGAUACGGUCCAGACCCCUACGGGAGGCAGCAGUGGGGAAUAUUGGACAAUGGGCGAAAGCCUGGUCCAGCCAUGCCGCAUGAGUGAAGAAGGCCUUUGGGUUGUAAAGCUCUUUUAGUGAGGAAGAUAAUGGCGGUACUCACAGAAGAAGUCCUGGCUAACUCCGUGCCAGCAGCCGCGGUAAUACGGAGAGGGCUAGCGUUAUUCGGAAUUAUUGGGCGUAAAGGGCGCGUAGGCGGAUUAGUAAGUUAAAAGUGAAAUCCCAAGGCUCAACCUUGGAAUUGCUUUUAAAACUGCUAAUCUAGAGAUUGAAAGAGGAUAGAGGAAUUCCUAGUGUAGAGGUGAAAUUCGUAAAUAUUAGGAGGAACACCAGUGGCGAAGGCGUCUAUCUGGUUCAAAUCUGACGCUGAGGCGCGAAGGCGUGGGGAGCAAACAGGAUUAGAUACCUUGGUAGUCCACGCUGUAAACGAUGAAUGUUAAAUAUGGGAAGUUUUACUUUCUGUAUUACAGCUAACGCGUUAAACAUUCCGCCUGGGGACUACGGUCGCAAGAUUAAAACUCAAAGGAAUUGACGGGGACCCGCACAAGCGGUGGAGCAUGUGGUUUAAUUCGAUGCAACGCG